GACGAACGCUGGCGGCGUGCCUAACACAUGCAAGUCGAGCGGGAACCUGGGAAGGGGUAACCCUCCCCAGGGGAGAGCGGCGAACGGGUGCGUAACACGUGGGCAACCUGCCCCGGACACCGGGAUAACCCAGGGAAACCUGAGCUAAUACCGGAUACUCCGGCGCGAUCGCAUGGUCGUGCCGGGAAAGCUCCGACGGUCCGGGAUGGGCCCGCGGCCUAUCAGCUUGUUGGUGGGGUAACGGCCCACCAAGGCGACGACGGGUAGCUGGUCUGAGAGGACGGCCAGCCACACUGGGACUGAGACACGGCCCAGACUCCUACGGGAGGCAGCAGUGGGGAAUAUUGCGCUAAUGCGCGAAAGCGUGACGCAGCGACGCCGCGUGGGGGAUGAAGGCCCUCGGGUCGUAAACCCCUUUCGCCAGGGACGAAGCGCAAGUGACGGUACCUGGAGAAGAAGGACCGGCCAACUACGUGCCAGCCGCCGCGGUAAAAC
rnacentral:rRNA from 1 species